rnacentral:rRNA from 1 species
UACGUAGGGUGCAAGCGUUAAUCGGAAUUACUGGGCGUAAAGCGUGCGCAGGCGGCUUUGCAAGACAGAUGUGAAAUCCCCGGGCUCAACCUGGAACUGCAUUUGUGACUGCAAGGCUAGAGUACGGCAGAGGGGGAUGGAAUUCCGCGUGUAGCAGUGAAAUGCGUAGAUAUGCGGAGGAACACCGAUGGCGAAGGCAAUCCCCUGGGCCUGUACUGACGCUCAUGCACGAAAGCGUGGGGAGCAAACAGG